rnacentral:rRNA from 1 species
GACGAACGCUGGCGGCGUGCUUAACACAUGCAAGUGGAGCGACGAACCAGGCUUCGGCCUGGGGCAGAGCCGCGAACGGGUGAGUAACACGUGGGUAACCCGCCCCGAUGACCGGGACAACCCGGGGAAACCGGGGCUAAUACCAAAUGUGCUCUUUCCACAUCAGUGGAUCGAGGAAAGGAGGCUUCGGCUUCCGCAUCGGGAUGAGCCCGCGGCCCAUUAGCUUGUUGGUGGGGUAAUGGCCUACCAAGGCUCCGAUGGGUAGCUGGUCUGAGAGGACGAUCAGCCACACUGGGACUGAGACACGGCCCAGACUCCUACGGGAGGCAGCAGUGGGGAAUCUUGCGCAAUGCGCGAAAGCGUGACGCAGCAACGCCGCGUGAGGGAAGACGGCCUUCGGGUUGUAAACCUCUUUCAGUUGGGACGAAGCCUCUGCGGUUAAUACCCGUAUGAGGUGACGGUACCUUCAGAAGAAGCCCCGGCUAACUACGUGCCAGCCGCCGCCGUAAAAC